UACGGGAGGCAGCAGUGGGGAAUAUUGCACAAUGGGCGCAAGCCUGAUGCAGCCAUGCCGCGUGUAUGAAGAAGGCCUUCAGGUUGUAAAGUACUUUCAGUCGUGAGGAAGGUGUUAAGGUUAAUAACCUUAGCAAUUGACGUUAGCGACAGAAGAAGCACCGGCUAACUCCGUGCCAGCAGCCGCGGUAAUACGGAGGGUGCGAGCGUUAAUCGGAAUUACUGGGCGUAAAGGGCACGCAGGCGGUUAAUUAAGUUGGAUGUGAAAUCCCCGGGCUUAACCUGGGAAUGGCAUUCAAGACUGGUUAGCUAGAGUCUUGUAGAGGGGGUAGAAUUCCAUGUGUAGCGGUGAAAUGCGUAGAGAUGUGGAGGAAUACCGGGUGGCGAAGGCGGCCCCUGGGACAAAGGACUGACGCUCAUGUGCGAAAGCGUGGGGAGCAAACGAGGAUUAGAUACC
rnacentral:rRNA from 1 species